rnacentral:rRNA from 1 species
UCGAACGGUAAGGCCCUUCGGGGUACACGAGUGGCGAACGGGUGAGUAACACGUGGGUGAUCUGCCCUGCACUUUGGGAUAAGCCUGGGAAACUGGGUCUAAUACCGAAUAUGAUCAUGGCCUUCAUGGGUUGUGGUGGAAAGCUUUUGCGGUGUGGGAUGGGCCCGCGGCCUAUCAGCUUGUUGGUGGGGUAAUGGCCUACCAAGGCGACGACGGGUAGCCGGCCUGAGAGGGUGUCCGGCCACACUGGGACUGAGAUACGGCCCAGACUCCUACGGGAGGCAGCAGUGGGGAAUAUUGCACAAUGGGCGCAAGCCUGAUGCAGCGACGCCGCGUGAGGGAUGACGGCCUUCGGGUUGUAAACCUCUUUCAGUAGGGACGAAGCGCAAGUGACGGUACCUAUAGAAGAAGCACCGGCCAACUACGUGCCAGCAGCCGCGGUAAUACGUAGGGUGCGAGCGUUGUCCGGAAUUACUGGGCGUAAAGAGCUCGUAGGUGGUUUGUCGCGUUGUUCGUGAAAACUCACAGCUUAACUGUGGGCGUGCGGGCGAUACGGGCAGACUGGAGUACUGCAGGGGAGACUGGAAUUCCUGGUGUAGCGGUGGAAUGCGCAGAUAUCAGGAGGAACACCGGUGGCGAAGGCGGGUCUCUGGGCAGUAACUGACGCUGAGGAGCGAAAGCGUGGGGAGCGAACAGGAUUAGAUACCCUGGUAGUCC